UGUUAAAAUAGAAAAAGUGGUGCAUUAUUCUAGUGAUAUUGCCUACUAUGAGGGUGGGGCUAAAAAUCCACUAAAGGGCACAUCGUUGAAGUUUCUUGUUUGUGCGCAAAACGCCCAGUUAUGCGUGUUUUCAGGGAGUAAAGAUUGCCGGGAUAUAUGUAACGGCAUACAUAGAAAGACCCGACAAUCGCGGAGACUUUAUUCAGUAUAGAUUUUAUGCAGUUUGAAGUGUAACCUAUCAUUUUCAUACGGGAUGUAUGGAAAUAUAGAGUAGCCUGUCUUGAGUGAGAGUAUUGGGAUUAGCAUCAAAGAGGUAUCGUAUUUGGCCAAAUGCGAUGUUCCUUCUUGCUAUGAAAUUACGAUUGCAAAAAAGACUAAUAGUAGAACCAAUAUUUUAAGGAAAACUUCUAGAAUGUUUAUUCAGACAUGAAUAGGAAAGUCUAGGGAUUAAGGUACGGAUUUGAGUGGCAAUCUGGUAUUCUCAAAUUUCUGUGAGAAUGUUUUGUUAAAUGGAAACAGCUAAACAGUAAUGUUUAGUACAAAACAGAGAAAUUCGACUAGACCUAAACCGUAAAAUUUACUUAGACUUUUACCACUUAAUCCAUAUAUUUU
rnacentral:sRNA from 10 species